GAGGGUAUAGCUUAGCAGUAGAGCUCAUGCUUAGGGUGCACCAGGCCCUGGAUUCAAUCCCCUGUACCUCCA
rnacentral:tRNA from 1 species